UUUAAAUGUGCUACGUUAUUGAACUCAUCAUAGAGUUCCAAUGUUCCUUGAAUGCACCACAAGUGGUGCGAGAAGCCAUGUGUGAGUGCGACGCUGCCUGCCAGGGCCAGCCGAGCUCAGCUGCCGAAAUGCGGCAGGAUGGCGGAAGGAGCGGUCGCCCUUUAUGUAGCUCCGGUGGCGAUCUCAAAUAAUGGACUGGUGAAAGAAAACCCACAAAAGGUUUGAUUGGCCAACGGAGGUAGCGUGAUCAUGCUGCAAGCAUAUGCGCAGAUCAUUUUCUUUCUGAUCCUCUGGAAGGAAGGACGGUCCUGUUGCUUCAGAUGCCUCGCUAAUCUGCUAAAUCUACCCAAGACACUGGCUGUCAGACUGAUUUAGCUGCAAGAAUGCACUUGUCCAGGCUGACGUGAAGCUUUACCGGCAUAGCAAAGAGCUCACAGCCGCAGUGUCUUGUGACACAGGGACCAUGACAGAAAUUCAUCUUCCAGAAAGUCCCAGAGAAGCAUCCACACCCCCUGAAAAGACCAGGAUGUGAGGUGUCUGCUGUUGAUUCCAGCUUCCACCUCAGUGACAGUGCAAGCUCAGUGAACUGUUCAAGGAGGCUACUGAUUCUGGCCCUGUGACACUUGGUGGUGACGUGUGAGCUGAUUCACCUGGACACUCAGCAAAAUAUGGACUCUACACCAUGAGGCAGACACACGUUAAUACUCUAUAAGAGCACAUAAGCAUGAGGAUGUCCUCACACACCUGUAACCUAUCAGCUCAUCUGGCAGAAUAGAAAGAGAAGAGUCAACACCACAUCUCCUGUUCCUGGAAAGCCUUCAGCCAUCCUUCGAUGACUGAGAACCUCCAUCAGCUCUGUCUCCUGUUUUCCAGCUGGGUUCCCUGGUUGCAUCGCCUGUUCCUUUCUCCUCCUGGCCCUGACGCCGGCUCCUCAUGGCUUCCUGGGAUGUCCCUCUCUCCUGAUACCAUCUCAUGUCCCCCCUCACUUUCCCUCAUCUCAUUUGCCUCACUGCUACUGCUGCUUUCCUCAUUCUCUGAAAUUAAAAUGGCACAGUUAGAAUAAAGAAUCAUUUUUAAAUAAAAUAAAUAAAAAUGUCUAAUAUUUCUAAAGAUUGGUACCACAGUUUACUUGAGAACAAUAAGUGUGGUCACUGGUCAGUGGACCAACAUGCAGUGGUUCUGCUGUACUUCACAGCGGGAUCCUUCCUCCUCCUUGGUUCAGGGCGAUGAACAAACACAGCAUCAGCCCGGAGUCUCACCUUGCCUUGCCUAGUCUUAGUAAACUGUCCCUCCUCUACAUGUGCCUGUAGAGUGGUGUAUUAGUUUAUUUCCUGCCACAUUUAACAGUUUAAUUGCAGCCUUGUGCAGUUGAGAGCAGAACAUGUAGAGCCUUGAUAGAAAACAUUUGAGAGUGCACAUUAAACUCACUGCACACAGCUUUUUGUUUUUGUGAUCUCUGGUCAUGGUGAGGUUGCUCCUGCUGACUUGAGCCAACCAUUUUCUUCUCUCUGCAUCUUUGGGUAAGCCAUAAUUCUGAUUCCUCCCUCAGACCGAUUGCUGUAUGCAGCGCAGCCAACCAUGUAAGAUAAUCAACCUAUAAAGGUAUUAUUAAAAUACUAUUUUUGUACAUAUAGAAAUAUUGAACAAAGCAAAAAAUAUAAAGAUGUAAAAUUACAUUUGAAAAUUUUAUCCAAUCCUAAAAUUAGUCAUUUCAAAUUUUAACCCACGGACACAUUUUAUUUUAAUAAUAAUCAAAAUAAAGUUAUUCAAAAGAGUUUCAUUAGGUCUUGAGUACAUUGCUCAUAAUUAACGAUUCAGCGUAUUUGUGCAUAUAUAAUGACUAAACAUAAUGUUGGUAAAAUGCUUUAUUAAAAUGCUGUUAAACAU